AACAAGGUCUCCGUUGGUGAACCAGCGGAGGGAUCAUUACCGAGUUUACAACUCCCAAACCCCUGUGAACAUACCACUUGUUGCCUCGGCGGAUCAGCCCGCUCCCGGUAAAACGGGACGGCCCGCCAGAGGACCCCUAAACUCUGUUUCUAUAUGUAACUUCUGAGUAAAACCAUAAAUAAAUCAAAACUUUCAACAACGGAUCUCAUGGUUCUGGCAUCGAUGAAGAACGCAGCAAAAUGCGAUAAGUAAUGUGAAUUGCAGAAUUCAGUGAAUCAUCGAAUCUUUGAACGCACAUUGCGCCCGCCAGUAUUCUGGCGGGCAUGCCUGUUCGAGCGUCAUUUCAACCCUCAAGCACAGCUUGGUGUUGGGACUCGCGUUAAUUCGCGUUCCCCAAAUUGAUUGGCGGUCACGUCGAGCUUCCAUAGCGUAGUAGUAAAACCCUCGUUACUGGUAAUCGUCGCGGCCACGCCGUUAAACCCCAACUUCUGAAUGUUGACCUCGGAUCAGGUAGGAAUACCCGCUGAACUUAAGCAUAUAACAAGG
rnacentral:rRNA from 1 species